ensembl:lncRNA
GAAACAACAAACCUGAGUUGACAACCCAAUGCAAUAGCUGUUUUUCAGGACCGGAGUUAGAGGAUUAUAUAACUACUUGGGAAUGCGAUUUGGAAAAAGGCAGCUAGGCUUGUAGCUUGUCAUUCAGCUGACAUGAAUACUUGUUUGCCAAGAAAACGGCAUGCUAACGUAAUAGCAUGCUAACGUAACAGCAGGCUAACGUUAAUAUCUCCGUAAGGCUACUCGCCGUCCUGGAGCUGCUUUUUGUGCCUUUUUUUAGUAUAUAAACAACAUCCAACAUCGCAACGGGAAAGGUCCAAGUUCUUGCUGUUGGACGCCCAGAAAAAUGUCAGCUAAACGGAACCACACAGCUUGCAUUGCUCCAAUUAAUUUUGUCACGCUUGUCUGCCCUUACAACAGGAGCCACAGGCUGAGGACAUGACAAUGGCGGCGGACGCUCGCCUCGCCUGAGCUGAGGAAAGAAAGCGGGAGCUGCGUGACAAACUCCUCAGCCCGGCUGACUCCAGAAAGGAAACCAUGAAUCCAGAAGAAGUAAGACAACACCUAAAUGACAGCACAUCCAAUGACAAGUUGUACUCCACGCUCCCAAAGUCACGCGACAUCUUAGCCGCAACUCUAUCGCAACGAUUGAUGGGCUGUGAAGAAAACUGUGGGAUGAAAUAUGUGGGACAAUUUAAAUAAAAAAGAACCAAUAUUUCCCCAUAUUUUAUCUUUGUUUGCAUCCUCUCUGCAUGCUGGGGCAGUGCAUUGAGCAGUUAACAGGUUUUGCAAUGUUUCCACCAAAAAUAGAACACCCGAACACCAAUUCUUCUAACUAUUCACUGUGAAACCAAUUAUCUAUUAUGAAUCUAUUAUGACACUUUGGGGGUUUUCUCAUCCGUCCUGAGCGAAAGAGAAAAUCCCCCAUAGAGGUAAAGUACGACGC